rnacentral:tRNA from 1 species
AAGUUAUAAACUUAAUGAGUAAGAUUAUGUCUUGAAAUCAUAAUUAAAGGGUUUGAAUCCCUUAUUAACUUA